CCCGGUGAAGUUUUAAACGGCCGCAGUUAGGAGCUGUGCUAAGGUAGCGUAGUAAGUUGUCCUUUAAAUGGGGAAAGGUAUGAAUGGUUUGACGUGAGGGAGUCUGUCUCAGGUAGAUUUAAAGAAAUUUUCUUUUUGGUGAAAAGCCCAAAAUGCAAUUAAAAGACGAGAAGACCCUUUCGAGCUUGAUUAAAUUAAAAAAUUGUUUUUAACUAAAGUUUAGUUGGGGCAACUUAGGAGCAAAAGUAGACUCCUUGACGAUCAUGAGGAUCCAAAAUUUUUGAAUUGAGAAAAAGCUACCGUAGGGAUAACAGCGUUAUCUUUUCUAAGAGAACAAAUUGAAGAAAGG
rnacentral:rRNA from 1 species